CGCCGGUCAGAUUCCGGCUGAAGGCUUCCUUACACCACCCCUAACUAAGCAGGGCUACCUUUUUGUUGACUGAACUUUAUUCCGCGUGUUGCGUGACGAGGAAUUAGGGUUUGAUUCCGGAGAGGAAGCCUGAGAGACGGCUACCACAUCUAAGGGUGGCAGCAGGCGCGCAAAUUAGUCCUGACACGGGGAGGUAGUGAACAAAAAUAGUGGCACAAAGCAUAUUGUUUUAUGACUGCAAUGAGUGAAAAUUACAUCGUUUCACGAGCAACAAUUGGAGGGCAAGCCUGGUGCCAGCAGCCGCGGUAAUUCCAGCUCCAAUAGCAUAUACCUGAGUUGCUACAGUUAAAGCGUCCGUAGUUAGAUAUCAAUUGGUUUGACGGCAACCUGUAAAGGGAUGCAACUUAAGCCUUUGGCUUGUUACCUUGAGAAAAAGGAGGCGCCUAAGGCACGCGAUAUGUGUGAACUAUCUAGCACGGAAUAGCACAUUUAAACUGUCAAUAAACAUGCUGAAUGUUUGUUGAUUAGGAUGAUUGACAAGGGCAGUCGGGGACACUUGGCCUUGCUGGAGAGAGGUGAAAUUCUGAGACCCGGGAAAGACACUCAAAUGCGAAAGCUUUUGUCCAGAAUGUUCCUGUUAAUCAAGGACUAAAGUUGGGGGAUCGAAGACAAUUAGAUACCGUUGUAGUCCCAACCGUAAACCAUGCCGACUGAUCAUUGGUUAGAAGUUUGUAUUCUUUUCAGCGUUCGAAAGAAAUUGAAGUUUUUGGGCUUUGGGGGGUGUAUGGUUGCAAGACUGAAACUUAAAGGAAUUGACGGAAGGGCACUGCUGUGAGAAAAAGGAAUUCACAAAUCACCUCUAUAUUAGGGAAGAGUUGAGAGAACAAAA
rfam:Gregarina niphandrodes unplaced genomic scaffold scaffold00153, whole genome shotgun sequence.